rnacentral:misc_RNA from 1 species
GCUGACUGAUUUGACUACUUACGAGUAAUUCAAAUCAAAUUUAAAAGUUCUCAAUGUUUAUCUUUCAUUAGAUAAACACAACAAACACAUUCAAGUGUCUUGUAUUCGAAUGAUCAGAAAUGAUUGUUCAUUUUUUGAUUCUACUUUUUAUUAAAAAGUGGAAACAAAAAGUAAAUUGAGUCCGGCAAACAGUUAUCAAGAAUUAACCCUUCUUGAUGACAACCAAAAACCUUGGUUGCUUUUUGUCUUCACUUUUUAAAAGUGAAAGCAAAUUUGUAUCAUACGCUAAGACCCUUUCGGGU